rnacentral:misc_RNA from 1 species
UCCGGUUUGGCACCUGUGAUCCUGCCCCGAAGGGAAGGUGUGUUUCCACACCGGUCAGGAACAUGUCAAGCCCAGGUAAGGUUCUUCGCGUUGCGUCGAAUUAAACCACAUGCUCCGCUGCUUGUGCGGGCCCCCGUCAAUUCCUUUGAGUUUUAGCCUUGCGGCCGUACUCCCCAGGCGGGUCACUUAAUGCGUUAGCUUCGGCACAGGAGGAGUCGACACCUCCCACACCUAGUGACCAUCGUUUACGGCGUGGACUAC